rnacentral:rRNA from 1 species
AGUAACGCGUGGGUAACCUGCCUUGUACUGGGGGACAACAGUUAGAAAUGACUGCUAAUACCGCAUAAGCGCACAGUAUCGCAUGAUACAGUGUGAAAAACUCCGGUGGUACAAGAUGGACCCGCGUCUGAUUAGCUAGUUGGUGAGGUAAUGGCCCACCAAGGCGACGAUCGGUAGCCGGACUGAGAGGUUGAACGGCCACAUUGGGACUGAGACACGGCCCAG